CUAGAGUGGAGAGGAGGAGGACAGAGAGAGAAAGAGGGAGAAAGGCAGAGGGAAAGAAAAGGGAAAGCGUGAAAGAACUAGUUCUCUCCAACCGGACAGCGUCUUGAGGCCACAGUAGUGGCACAGCCGGAUCAAGUGAAGAAUCUAUGCGGAGAGAUUAGGAACUGUGCUUCGCUGUCCACGUUACUCCCACCCACAAGGCCAAGGCAAAUUCUAACCUGGCUAGGCCGGCAGCACCAACGAACUUGAGUACAGAGAAGCUGCAGAACUCGCAGCCUAGGAGCCUUCCCCGGAUGGGCCCGGUCCUUACCCAGGAGCUCACCAGGCGCUCAAGACUGUGGCGCUCAGCAGCGCUACUAGGAAAUGCCACAAAGCUGAGGGCUGCCUGAGAAGGGGAUUUUGCCUCUCAGCACUGUCCAUGCCUCCUCAGGAAGCUCUGUGGAGUGGGAAGUAGGUCCCAAGAAGAGGAGAGGAUUUUUUGAGGAGAAAGAGCCGCAGCAGCCCCAGCCGGGACUUUGUGCCUCACCGACUAACUGCAGAAAGCAGCUUCCCAGGCCGCAGGUUGGGAAGGACCAGUGGCCAUAGGUGAGAAUGCUUGAGAUAGUGGAGGCUAAUAAAAUAAAGAGAAAGACAAUGAUCUAAACUUGUCUUUUUUAACCUUUUUGGAAGUGAAGUCCCCUUUGGAAAAUCUAAGGCCAAGUUCUGACUCUUAUCCUGUGAGAAACGCACAUCUGUACAUUCCCACAAUUUGACCCAUCGUUUUCAAGGAGUUCACAGACCCCCUCAAAGGCUUCUCCAUGGGCCCUCCAGAAUAUUGCAGAACUCUGGAAAUUCAGCGACCUGGCCAAUUUGACUGGUAAGACAAGCAGGGUGUCUCAUUGUAGGCAGCUCAGGCCCUGUCUGGUCAGGGCCCUGUAGGGUGGCCAAAUGGGCUUCUAGGCUGGAUGGGAUCCAAGACCGGGUGUGCUCCAACUAAGGUUACAAAAGUCACCUUGGUACUGCAUCUGCUACAAGAAGGCUGCCCCGGCUUCGGCUGCAGAGUAGAAGAGGUGGAAGGCCGGCUGCAGACUCUCAGACCGUGGCAUUGGCACUUGGGUCUUCACCACCCUUUGGGGAGAGCUGGAUGUUUUUCUCCAGCAUCUUUUCCCCCUUGUAAUAGACCAAAAGGAAUGUUUGGUUUGUGCUGUUUUUUGCUUUUAAAAAAGCUGUGUAAGCGUGUGUGGGAACCCCUCUAUGGCCCAGAACCACCACCCCACCCCCACCGGGGCUUGCUGAGCCGACAGCCAACGCAGAGCCUGCGGGUGUGCCUGGGACGCAGACUGGCCUGGCGCUGCUGCUGGUUCGGAGAGAAGACAUCCACGCAGCAGAAGCUCACGUUAAACGUGGCUGCCCUCAGCCCUCCUGGAGCUUCCAGCAAGACUCCACACUCCCACAGAGGUGUUAGCUUCCUCAAUAGACUAGUCCAUUUAUCCAUCACCUUGGCUUUCCUGAGAUUCCCCACCUUCUGGAGAUUAAGAAAAGCGAUUCAGUUACAGCGUUAGUCGGCUUCACCUUCUGGACACACGCUCUCCCUCUUGCCAUUUGCCUUCUUUCCUUCUCUCCCUUUCACCCUCCCUCUCAGCUGCUGAAUUUCUCUCCCGUUCUCAGGUUGCCUUUGACUUAAAACUCUCGGUGCCUGCUUGCUUCAGCCAGGCCUGUGGAGCAGUUCUGUGGCAGCCAUCGGGGCCCACGUUCCAUUUAGGAGUAAAUAUCACCCAUUUCUACCUGAGUAAUAACACUCUUCCCUCCCCCAUGGUUAUGGAGCCAAAGUAAAUGCCAGGCAGGUCGAAUAAGCCCUUUGGUGAAGAUUACAAUGCGGUUCACCAGGCAUCAGAUUUGUCCUCCUGAGUAAACCCUUGCAAAUGAUGAGAAAUAAUAAACUACCACCAAAAAAUUCUUUUUAAAAAUACGAGGUAUUGAGAUUGAGAUAGCCAGUAAACAAUUUGUAUCUGAAGGUCGCUCUCAAUGCUUUCAGGGCUCAGAAUUAUCUGACUGGCUAUGGAGUUGGGCUGCGGCCCCACAGAGGGAAAUAAACACUACUUCCAUGUGUCCGGCUUUAACAAAAAUUCUGGACUCCUCUGAUUCACGUAUUUACUGCCGAAUUAGAAAUUUUUUUGGUAAGCAAUGAUGUUCUUUUCUCGUCCAUCUUUAAGAAUGUCAGCAUUUCCAGGGAUACUGGAUGUGUGCAGUCAAAUACCAGGUGCAAUAUAUCCCUCAACAACCCACUUUAAAAUUUUUUCUAAAUCCAACCACUGAACUAGCCCUUCUCUCCUGAUGAGGAGAGUGUUCGGGCCUUUUCACACACCCCCUAAAUUGCAAUGUCCUUAGUUUUGUUCAUAACAAAAUUGCAUCUGGCCUUGAAACGAGAGGUGGCUCUGGGAUUUUAGAGAGGGCUCGGCUGCAGAGAGUGCCGUGUGGGCACCCAAGCCUUCCUGUGGUUGCCUUCUUCUGGCAGUAUUUGGAGCUCCUGCUCAACAAAGACUAGUGACUUUCACAGGCAAAAACCACACACAUGCAAGCAGCCCCUACUUUCUCUCAGAUUCCCCCCACUCACCUAUGCAUUGUAUAUUUGUGAAAAUAAAAGAACCAUUUCAAGAAACGUAUGAAAACAUAUUAGAAUAAAAAUUUAAAUACAGGAAAAGGAGGAAUUUGAAUCUGGCCUCCGAAAAUGUAAGUGAAAUGAUUAUUUAAAACUUGUUUUAUGACCACCCUGAUGGAGAGAUUGUUCGAUCAGAGUUUAUCCUCAGUGCCAGCUUUUGAAAAUGUAUAGGUAUUUACCAAUACAGUUUUUGCAUAUUUAUAAAAUAUGCAAAAGAUCUCAUCUUUGCAUCUAGGAAAUUGCUUCAAAACCCAAGCCAGGUUUAUAGCGGUACAUUCCAAAUAAACAAUACAGACUUCUCUGGCAGCCUGAAAAAUCAAGUGCGACUUUUCCGAAUUGGCUCUUUUCUAAACAAAGGUUUCCCCCAGGCUGCUUGGCAGACCUAGAGACCUCACCUGGUAGGAAACCAGCGACAACCCGGACGUCUGCCCCAGGGAAUAAGCCCAUCCCAGCGGCCAGGGUCGCUGACCACCUCGUUGUUUGGCGUAGAAACUUUGUUUUCCCCAGUCCCGCCAUCUCUUUUUUAUCCCCAUCGCACCCCCCUAUCCCGGCACAGCCCGGGACCCUUUCGCUUGGAUGCCCCCCAUCUCUGGCUCAUCUCAUUCUGAAUAUUUCUACAAACUCGAAGGAUCGCUUUGGGUGAUUGCUGGCGCAAGGAGCUAAAACCGUCGACUUCCCACUUAGGCCUGCCUCUGCUUUCCAACCUUAGGGAGCGAUGGGAGGGGGUGGGGUGUGGGCUGAGCGCCUGUAGCGUCACCCCGGAGCGCACAAACCCAGCCACUUUCCCCAGCCCUGCUCAGACAUCGGCCACCUCCCCACUCCCGCCCCAGCCAGACUGAAAUUGCUAAACUUGUGGCCUCUUACCUUGACACAUUUCCGAAAUCACUGCCAAGGGAGAGCUGGCUUCUCCGCGCCGCGACGCCUGCGAGGCCUAGAGAAGGUGCGUUGCUUUAAAUUACACCACCAACCACUUCCUGAAGAUUUUGACUUGACGGUCGGUGAGGUUGAGCAUGCGAGACAGCUGCAGGCGCUUCUCUUUGUUGAUGUACACGCUGAAGAAGAACUCCCGCUCCAGCUCGCGGAUCUGGUACUUGGUGUAGGGGCAGCGCUUUUUUCGGGAGGCCUAACAGCCGAGCUGAGCCCACCCAGCUCAGGGAAAGACCCGACGCGAGGCUAAGGCGGCCCUGGAAGGCCAAGUCCGAGUGGCAUUUCUUGAAGAGGCUGAGACGGGCAAGGCUGUGACAUUGGCCCUGGCGACUGGUUUCCCAUGAGCUCUUCUUUCUCAGGAGCUCCAAAGCGCAGGGCCAUCUCCAGAAAACAGACAUCAACGUGUAUUUCCUUUUAUCGUCAACCCGGAGCCCCUCGGCAGCAAAUGCAAGAGGCCAAAAAUGUUUUGGAGGAAGAAAAACAAAGGCAGGAAGUGGCGGCGGCCUGACGGUGCGUGUGUGUCUGCGGAGAAGGGAGGGAGCCGUUUCAAUCUCUUGUUGUUUUUCCAAACUUCAAGGUCUAGGCAGCUUUCGCAGGGUUGGCCCCGUCGCUCCGCGCGCAGCAUUUGGAGAUGGCCACCCCGAGAGGAGAAGGCUGGCGCCCGCGCCAGCCUUGUUAAGCGGAAACGGCUAACGAGGCGAUUUGCUCAGCAAAGCAGACCGAGCCUUUCCAAAGCUUAGUUUGAUUUGGCCCUAAAAGUGGGGUGGGGGUUGGGGGGUUCCGCAGCGCCUCCCGACUCUCCUCAGGCGGACUGAAUGCGCCCUAGCAGGAGGAUUCGUGCGCCCUGCGCUCCAUGCGCCUUCCCAGGCGGGAUAUCGCAAUAAAGUGUGUCCAGGUGCCUCUGCCCAGCA